UACGGAAGGCAGCAGGGGGAAUAUUGCACAAUGGGCGCAAGCCUGAUGCAGCCAUGCCGCGUGUAUGAAGAAGGCCUUCGGGUUGUAAAGUACUUUCAGUCGUGAGGAAGGUGUUAAGGUUAAUAACCUUAGCAAUUGACGUUAGCGACAGAAGAAGCACCGGCUAACUCCGUGCCAGCAGCCGCGGUAAUACGGAGGGUGCGAGCGUUAAUCGGAAUUACUGGGCGUAAAGGGCACGCAGGCGGUUAAUUAAGUUGGAUGUGAAAUCCCCGGGCUUAACCUGGGAAUGGCAUUCAAGACUGGUUAGCUAGAGUCUUGUAGAGGGGGUAGAAUUCCAUGUGUAGCGGUGAAAUGCGUAGAGAUGUGGAGGAAUACCGGUGGCGAAAGGCGGCCCCUGGACAAAGGACUGGACGCUCGAUGUGCGAAAGCUGGGGAGCAAACAGGGAUUAGAUACC
rnacentral:rRNA from 1 species